GAUAAAGGAAUAUAAAUGGAAGAAUCCCCGACAACUGCGAUCACGGCCCUGCUCAUCUGUCUCCACGACCUUUAUGCCCAGACCGUGGGAUCACGUCCAAUCAGGCCACAAACUUCUCUCUCUCUCUCUCUCUCUCGCUUACCCGACGGAGCUCUUCAUCCUGUUCGCUGCCGCUGCUAGCAUGCGACCCGGCCAUUCCCACACUAGCGGAGGCCAGACCUGGCCACUUUCCACUUGCUGGCCGACGCGAUGCGGAGAGCUGAAGCUCCAGGCGUGCACUGGCGAGGUCAUCCUCUUCUUCCUCAACGGCGAGUCCAACGUCGAACCGGUCUAAUGUCUCAGCUCCUCGUCUCUCCACUGACCAACCAUUUAUUGCUCUCUCCGCCGCCGG
rnacentral:lncRNA from 1 species